ensembl:antisense
GGGGCCAAGCACACUAAUGGGCUGGGGAAAUCUCCCCUGUGUAAGAACUUCUUUGAGAUGUAGAACAGAAACAAACAAGUCCAGGGCUUCCUAGGCAUGGCAGGAGACAGAUGAGGAGUCAGCACCCUCGUAGCCUAGAACCCCUAAACCAUUCCCACUGUCAUCUGUUUCAACCGCCUUCGCUUCAACACCCUCCGAUCUAAAGGUCUUUCAUCUUUCACUUUAUUUCUAUUUAAUGCUUUUUGUUAUUAAUAAAAAUCGACUAUCUUGCUCCUG